AUCAAUGUUAUUGGUCACCAUGCUGUGGUUGGUCUUAAAUGCCAAGACAUGAAAUACAAGGCCGGGGAUAGGUGCUUUCUUCACAUUGGUAAUAA